AUCUUCACCUGGUACAUUACAUGAAGUUGCACUUAUUCCAAGUGAUGCAAGCUUAUCGUUGAUGUUUUUACCCAGACACAAUAAAUCAUCAAUACUACUACCACGUUUAGCCAGUGCACCCAAUAUCUACCAAUAAUAAGUAUCGAUCCUCGAGUCUACGGAGGAGGGGGAGAUCCCUUGCCACCGCUUGGAUUCGCGCCUGUAUACUUACCAAAUGGAUAUGGUUCAUGUCCAGAUCCACCGCCACCAAGUAAACAAACUCGUUUUUCUGAUUUCUAAAAAUAUUUUAAUAUUAAUAUUUUUAUUCGAUGAUGUAAUAGUAAAUAGUAAUAAAGUAAUAAUACAAAUUAUAAUAAAAAAUUAUAAACUAACCAA